GAGCUCUGAUCAGAACACCGAACGGACAUGGACCGUGCGCAAGGAGGCCCAGUGGACACUCUUUCUUCCAGUUGCUGCUGUACCACACUUUUACCUUAUCAACUCUAAAACUGUUUAAAACCACUCUGUCAUCUAAAAUGAGCAAAGCAGAGUGCUAAGGUGCUGUAGUUACAUACAGUGCUGACACAGGCAGUUUCAGAGAAUGUACCUGAUUCAUAAAUCCUGAUGUCACUUGGAAAGAGCAAAGGAGAACUUCCAACGGAAUCCCAAGAAAUAAGUGGGAAAAAACUGUCUCUGGAAAAACUGAAGACCAUAUAUCUAUUGGACUUUAUGAUACUCACUUCAUUAAUUCAGAAUCUUUUUGGGUUGGGGGUGUUAAUCUCUACCAUGACUGGCAUUUAGAUAGUAAAUGUACUUUAAAGGCAGACAGGAAAAUCAAUAAACCUAUUACAAACAAAUAAUUAAAGUGCAUAAA